GAUGAAGAACGUAGCGAAAUGCGAUAAGUAAUGUGAAUUGCAGAAUUCAGUGAAUCAUCGAGUCUUUGAACGCACAUUGCGCCCCCUGGUAUUCCGGGGGGCAUGCCUGUCCGAGCGUCAUUGCUGCCCUCAAGCACGGCUUGUGUGUUGGGCCCCCGUCCCCGGUUUCCCCCGGGGACGGGCCCGAAAGGCAGCGGCGGCACCGCGUCCGGUCCUCGAGCGUAUGGGGCUUUGUCACCCGCUCUGUAGGCCCGGCCGGCGCCAGCCGACACCCAACUUUAUCUCUAAGGUUGACCUCGGAUCAGGUAGGGAUACCCGCUGAACUUAAGCAUAUCAAUAAGCGGAGGA
rnacentral:misc_RNA from 1 species